rnacentral:rRNA from 1 species
UACAGAGGUCCCGAGCGUUGUUCGGAUUCACUGGGCGUAAAGGGUGCGCAGGUGGCUUGGCAAGUUUGAUGUGAAAGCUCAGGGCUUAACCCCUGAAAUGGCAUUGAAUACUGUUGAGCUGGAGGUUUGGAGGGGGGACGUGGAAUUCUUGGUGUAGCAGUGAAAUGCGUAGAUAUCAAGAGGAACACCCAGUGGCGAAGGCGAGUCCCUGGACAACACCUGACACUGAGGCACGAAAGCUAGGGGAGCAAACAGG